CCUACGGGUGGCAGCAGUGGGGAAUAUUGCUCAAUGGGGGAAACCCUGAAGCAGCCACGCCGCGUGCAGGAUGAAGGAUUUCGGGGUGUAAAGCUCUUUUUAUAGGGAAGAAAAUGACGUUACCUGACGAAGAAUCCCCGGCUAGCUACGUUCCAGCAGCCGCGGUAAUACGGAGGGGGCAAGCGUUAUCCGGAUUUACUGGGCGUAAAGGGAGCGUAGGCGGGAGGGCAAGUCUGCAGUGAAAAGGUCGGGCUCAACCCGGGGAUUGCAGUGGAAACUGGCAGGCUUGAGUGCGGGAGAGGUAGGUGGAAUUCGUCGUGUAGCGGUGAAAUGCGUAGAUAUUAGGAGGAACCCCGAUUGCGAAGGCAGCUUGCUGGAGCGUAACUGACGCUGAUGCUCGAAAGCGUGGGGAGCAAACAGGAUUAGAUACCCUAGUAGUC
rnacentral:rRNA from 1 species